GAAAAACGAAUCCUGUGUAUCCUGUGUACACCCGUAACCGAGCCUGAUCACCUCGAAGCCUCUGUCUCAGCUCACGUGUAUCAAACAGAGUUUCUACGUUUGCCGGUCGUUAUGCGUUGGUUUGUAUUUAUCCAGACUAACACGGCUACCCCUCUGACAGCUGCACCUCAGUGAUUCCUGGCUGCCAGUCCCUUCAGGGUCAUUGAAACCAAUUACAAUUUACAUCAACUUUGAGGCUGCUCUAAGUUGCACCAGACUUGAGAGACUGGAGUUGAGAAAGAUUGGAAAGGUGGCAUAUAGCCACUUCUGUCUCUCCUCUGCCAUUUGGGCAGCUGAGGAUCUGUCCCAUUGACAGUUUUGUGAUAUACUUCAAUGCAUGUAGGAUCAGGCUCCAGAUCAGAAGGAGAAACUGGAACAGAGGGGUGAAGUUACUUGACUCAAGAUUUUCUGAUUCCUAACACUGACCAUUCCCCUAGGCCAUGUCACCUCUCUAAGGACAUGGUCUUGGAACAUGCUGAGCACCCUUAACAUCAAAAGUACAGACCAGAUCUGCAACUGGUUUAAACUGGCACAACUCCAGUGAAGUCAAAAUGUGUAUAUCAAAUGGCAAAAUACUGUAAUGAAAUGGUGUGGGGGAGAGGUAUGUAUAUGUGCACAUGUACCACUGCUCUCUAUUGGACAGAAUCAGAACUGCGCAAC